UACGUAGGGUGCAAGCGUUGUCCGGAAUUAUUGGGCGUAAAGAGCUCGUAGGCGGUCUGUCGCGUCGGCUGUGAAAACCCGGAGCUCAACUCCGGGCCUGCAGUCGAUACGGGCAAACUGGAGUGUUGCAGGGGAGACUGGAAUUCCUGGUGUAGCGGUGAAAUGCGCAGAUAUCAGGAGGAACACCGGUGGCGAAGGCAGCUCGCUGGGACGUUACUGACGCUGAGACGCGAAAGCGUGGGGAGCAAACAGG
rnacentral:rRNA from 1 species